GAUGAACGCUAGCUACAGGCUUAACACAUGCAAGUCGAGGGGCAGCAUGAACUUAGCUUGCUAAGUUUGAUGGCGACCGGCGCACGGGUGAGUAACACGUAUCCAACCUGCCGAUGACUCGGGGAUAGCCUUUCGGAAGAAAGAUUAAUACCCGAUGGCAUAGUUCUUCCGCAUGGUAGAACUAUUAAAGAAUUUCGGUCAUCGAUGGGGAUGCGUUCCAUUAGGUUGUUGGCGGGGUAACGGCCCACCAAGCCUUCGAUGGAUAGGGGUUCUGAGAGGAAGGUCCCCCACAUUGGAACUGAGACACGGUCCAAACUCCUACGGGAGGCAGCAGUGAGGAAUAUUGGUCAAUGGACGAGAGUCUGAACCAGCCAAGUAGCGUGAAGGAUGACUGCCCUAUGGGUUGUAAACUUCUUUUAUACGGGAAUAAAGUGAGGCACGUGUGCCUUUUUGUAUGUACCGUAUGAAUAAGGAUCGGCUAACUCCGUG
rnacentral:rRNA from 1 species